rnacentral:lncRNA from 1 species
AUGGGAGCCAACAGUGCUGCCCUGACAACACCUAAGUGGAAUCAGUCAGAUAUUCCACAGAACAACAUCCAUGUGGAUCAUGCAAUAUUCUCUAAUUCCAGAAGAGGUGAAAUUCAGCUGGAUAAAGAAAAACAUAUGAAACGAGCAGAGUCUAAUGUGGAAAUACAAGCGAGCAGGAGUGAGAGGACCCAUGGUAAACCAUCUGGUUAUGCCGAAGGGAAUUCUCCAAGAGUUCGGAGCAAAACAGACCUGUACCUCUAAGUCAGAACUUAGGAAGAACCCGGUACUACUGUAGUUCUCUGACUGUGAACUACAAAGUAACCUGUUUUGGCAAGCCAUGUGUUUGGACGACAUUCUGCAGGAGACACAACAUAUCCACAGCAGAGGUCUUGGUGUCCCGUGGAAAUGCCCACGCCUGCGCAGCCACAAGCUGUGCUGCGGGACGUCCGCUGCCCUUGCAGACCAGCGCACGGUGUAACUGGUAUGGAGAAGAGAUGGUCUACAGCAGCUAUUAAAAUGAAGACUUGGUAAAAAAAAAACUCUUUUCACUCCUUAGCCAGGAUUCUGGCAUUCAAAAUUUUUAAUAAAUAGUACAAAUUUUUUAGCUCA